GGAGAAAAAGCGGGCUGUAGAUAUCGCGUAGACCCGUGUAGUUUCUAGCGAUAUAGAUUUUUUUUAAUUGGGGGGGGGGUUUUUUAGUUUUUUUUUCUCUGCUCAGGACGAACGCUGGCGGCGUGCCUAAUACAUGCAAGUCGAGCGGACAGAUGGGAGCUUGCUCCCUGAUGUUAGCGGCGGACGGGUGAGUAACACGUGGGUAACCUGCCUGUAAGACUGGGAUAACUCCGGGAAACCGGGGCUAAUACCGGAUGGUUGUUUGAACCGCAUGGUUCAGACAUAAAAGGUGGCUUCGGCUACCACUUACAGAUGGACCCGCGGCGCAUUAGCUAGUUGGUGAGGUAACGGCUCACCAAGGCGACGAUGCGUAGCCGACCUGAGAGGGUGAUCGGCCACACUGGGACUGAGACACGGCCCAGACUCCUACGGGAGGCAGCAGUAGGGAAUCUUCCGCAAUGGACGAAAGUCUGACGGAGCAACGCCGCGUGAGUGAUGAAGGUUUUCGGAUCGUAAAGCUCUGUUGUUAGGGAAGAACAAGUGCCGUUCAAAUAGGGCGGCACCUUGACGGUACCUAACCAGAAAGCCACGGCUAACUACGUGCCAGCAGCCGCGGUAAUACGUAGGUGGCAAGCGUUGUCCGGAAUUAUUGGGCGUAAAGGGCUCGCAGGCGGUUUCUUAAGUCUGAUGUGAAAGCCCCCGGCUCAACCGGGGAGGGUCAUUGGAAACUGGGGAACUUGAGUGCAGAAGAGGAGAGUGGAAUUCCACGUGUAGCGGUGAAAUGCGUAGAGAUGUGGAGGAACACCAGUGGCGAAGGCGACUCUCUGGUCUGUAACUGACGCUGAGGAGCGAAAGCGUGGGGAGCGAACAGGAUUAGAUACCCUGGUAGUCCACGCCGUAAACGAUGAGUGCUAAGUGUUAGGGGGUUUCCGCCCCUUAGUGCUGCAGCUAACGCAUUAAGCACUCCGCCCUGGGAGUACGGCACGG
rnacentral:rRNA from 1 species